AACGAACGCUGGCGGCAUGCCUAACACAUGCAAGUCGAACGAGACCUUCGGGUCUAGUGGCGCACGGGUGCGUAACGCGUGGGAAUCUGCCCUUCGGUUGGGAAUAACUGAGAGAAAUUUCAGCUAAUACCUUAUAAUGUCUUCGGACCAAAGAUUUAUCGCCGAGGGAUGAGCCCGCGUAGGAUUAGGUAGUUGGUGGGGUAAUGGCCUACCAAGCCGACGAUCCUUAGCUGGUCUGAGAGGAUGAUCAGCCACCCUGGGACUGAGACACGGCCCAGACUCCUACGGGAGGCAGCAGUGGGGAAUCUUGGACAAUGGGCGAAAGCCUGAUCCAGCAGUGCCGCGUGAGUGAUGAAGGCCUUAGGGUUGUAAAGCUCUUUUACCCGGGAUGAUAAUGACAGUACCGGGAGAAUAAGCUCCGGCUAACUCCGUGCCAGCCGCCGCCGUAA
rnacentral:rRNA from 1 species